UUCUCUCUUUCUCAAAUAUCAAUUCAAACCCAAAUCCAAACCUGAUCAUAAUUUCAAAAACCAAUUCCAAUAUCUCUCUCUAUUCUCUCUCUUCGAUGAAGAAUACAAAGCAUCCAGUCUCUAAAUUCAUAUUAUCCAGACCUCUCUCAAUUCGCAAGUAGAGCAUCCACUUCAACAAAAACAGAAGUGAAGGUUAUGUCCGAUUUGAGGGAGAUGGCAGAAUCAGUAUCUUCAAACCCUAAUUCUGAGAUUCCAGAACGUCGUUGGGUUCCGCCGCAUCCUUGAUUUUGAAGGUCUAUAGGUUUGAAGACCAUGUGUUCGAUGAAUUGCGUAAAUGAGAAUUGAUCAAAGAAAAUCGAAUGAAGCUGAGGUCGAGCCCCUACGAGAAGAGUAUCACCAAAGGGUUUCAACUCUUGAAAAAAAGCUUUAUGCCCUCACGAGGGAAAGAGACAUGCUACGCAGAGAGCAAAAUAAAAAAGCGAUGUCGCUGCUCUUUUGAAGGUAAAAGAUGAAAUCAUCACUCAAGUUAUGGCAGAAGGCGAAGAGCUUUCAAAGAAACAAGCUACUCAAGAAUCGACAAUCAGGAAACUACGUGCACAGAUCAGAGAGCUUGAAGAAGAGAAGAAAGACUGAUAACAAAGCUACAGGUUGAAGAGAGCAAGGUAGAGAGUAUAAAGAGGGACAUAACUGCUACAAAGAAGCUACUCCAAGAAACAAUAGAGAAAAACCAAGCUGAUGCAGAUUGAGGCUAUUCAGGUUUUUAUUAUACUUUUAUGAGUAAAAUGCCAUUUUCGUCCCUGACGAAGAAGAAGAAUCUAAGAGGAAAAGGAAGUGAAGCCCGUUAAAAGACCCGCUGAAUCUACACCCAAGUCGCCUGCUUCUGCUAAGAAAGGAAAACCCAACACUCCACAAAAUGCUAAAUCUAACACUCCUCAAACAUCAGGUGGAAAGAAAAGUGGUCAAGCAGUAACGCCACAAGCCAAUUCAAAAGUAAGAGUUCACAAAUUUGAUAUGGAUAACGCGGAGUCCGAUCUUUUCGACGACAUCUAUAAUUAUUUCCAAGAUUCAGAUAUUCAAGUACUUCACAAGUUGAAGGUUUUUCAUUACAACCAUGUUGAUCAAACGAGAAAUUGUGAGUUUUCUAAAGAUCCUUGCUUGAUCUUCAUGUAUUUCAUGGUUGUUGUUAUGUUUAUCGAUGGAUCCAGUUAUCAAUAAUCAUCACUUGUGAUUUUGACUUUUUAUAGCUCUAUUUGAAUGACCCAAAGUCAGAUCUGAGUAUAUCAUAAGUUGGAUCUGAAGUAUCUUCAGCUUCUUUUCUUCACAAAAUGUUUCCAAACCAUAGACAUGUUAGUUGGAUCUUAUUACAGAGAAGUUGGUUGCUUGAUCUGUGCUUUCAGUACCAAUUUUAAUGAAUUGAUAUUCCUUCACUAUUUGUAUGUUAAAUACUCCAGUAGUUGAUGGUUGUAUGUUAAAUACUCUCUCUCUCUCUCUCUCUCUCUUCGAUGAAGAAUACAAAGCAUUCAGUCUCUAAAUUCAUACUAUCCAGACCUCUCUCAAUUCGCAGGUAGAGCAUCCACUUCAACAAACACAGAGUCUUUUAAUGUAUGAUAUACAUGUUGAUGGAUAAGGAUAAAGCAGCAGCAGCGGCAGUUGCUUCUUCUUCUUCUUCGUCACAUGAACUUGCUCUACGUCAAAGAACGAAUCAACGAAAUAGGGCUCGAGGCGAAAGUGCACUUUCUUCUCCAAUUUAAAAGGUUGAUUUAUAUGCUCUGGAACUUGAAAGAAGAAGAUGAUGAAGAUUCAAUAUCUCGAUCCACUUCAAUAAAAGAAGGUGUUGAUCCGCAAGGUUUGUGUAAAACAAAGGGAGUUGAACUUGGCAUUUUCGUUAUUUGCAGAGAUGAAGAGAUAUCAAAUACAACCAAAUAUGGUCGCCGAAGUCUCCUACGGUGUUAGUGUCAUCUCCGUUGCCGGAACCAUGAAGGCAUGAACAACUCCUCAAUUCGUUUGAAGGAACCACUGGAACUGGAUGCAUCUACAAAGGACGUAAAGAUUUCUCUACAAAAUGUUUUGGACAUGACAGCCGAUUGGACUCAAGGAGAAAGAUAGAUGUUGAGAAAUAAGGUGCCUGUAACUGGUCUGAAAACGCCAUUCCGUGAUGGAUUGUUGAAGAAGUUUUUCAGUUUGCAAAGGAUGGCCUGGAGAGAAGAGGAUAUAAAGAAACAGGGUUCUUAAAUGAAGUAGCAGAGGCGGUUAGAACAGUAUUAAGGUAGCGUUUGGUGAUGAGGCUUCGCGUCGAAAGCUAACUGAUGGUCCGUUUGGAGAUGCUUUGAAGACUGCUCAAGCAAUGCUUUUGUUGAUUUAGGAGUUUGGAUGCUGCUUCAUCAGUUUGUGUUUCAGAAUAUGAUGAUUUGUAGUUUCGGCUUUUGGAUCUUGCUUGAUCAGUUUAGAGGGUUAUGUUUAUGAUUGCUCUGUUUUGAACUUUUUUUUUUUGACAGUAUGAUAUUGUGCUAUGUAAAUUGAUUAAGGUAGUGUUUGCUUUGUGCUUAAGUUAGAAUCAGUUAUCA